GUGGAUGUAGCUCAGUUGGUAGAGCACUGGAUUGUGACUCCAGGUGUCGUGGGUUCAAGCCCCAUCAUUCACCCCA
rnacentral:tRNA from 1 species